AUUGAACGCUGGCGGCAUGCCUUACACAUGCAAGUCGAACGGCAGCACGGGAGCAAUCCUGGUGGCGAGUGGCGAACGGGUGAGUAAUAUAUCGGAACGUGCCCAGUCGUGGGGAUAACGUAGCGAAAGCUACGCUAAUACCGCAUACUAUCUAUGGAUGAAAGCGGGGGAUCGCAAGACCUCGCGCGAUUGGAGCGGCCGAUAUCAGAUUAGGUAGCUGGUGAGGUAAAGGCUCACCAAGCCGACGAUCUGUAGCUGGUCUGAGAGGACGACCAGCCACACUGGGACUGAGACACGGCCCAGACUCCUACGGGAGGCAGCAGUGGGGAAUUUUUGGACAAUGGGCGCAAGCCUGAUCCAGCAAUGCCGCGUGCAGGAUGAAGGCCUUC
rnacentral:rRNA from 1 species